GUUAUAUGGUCAAGCGAAUAAGCGCACACGGUGGAUGCCUUGGCGGUCAGAGGCGAUGAAGGACGUGGCAGCCUGCGAAAAGUACGGGGGAGCUGGCAACAAGCUUUGAUCCCGUAAUGUCCGAAUGGGGAAACCCACUGCGCAAGCAGUAUCCUGCAGUGAAUACAUAGCUGCUGGAAGCGAACCCGGAGAACUGAAAUAUCUAAGUACCCGGAGGAAAAGAAAUCAACCGAGAUUCCCUGAGUAGUGACGAGCGAACGGGGACCAGCCCUUAAGCUGGAUUAGUUUUAGCAGAACAACCUGGAAAGGUUGGCCAUAGACGGUGAUAGCCCGGUACGCGAAAAGGCUUUUCCAGUGAAAUCGAGUAAGGCGGGGCACGUGAAACCCUGUCUGAACAUGGGGGGACCAUCCUCCAAGGCUAAAUACUACUGACCGACCGAUAGUGAACCAGUACCGUGAGGGAAAGGCGAAAAGAACCCUGGUGAAGGGAGUGAAAUAGAUCCUGAAACCGUGUGCGUACAAGCAGUCGGAGCCCGCAAGGGUGACGGCGUACCUUUUGUAUAAUGGGUCAGCGACUUACUGUUCGUGGCGAGCUUAACCGUAUAGGGG
rnacentral:rRNA from 1 species